AGUGAACGCUGGCGGUAGGCCUAACACAUGCAAGUCGAACGGCAGCACAGUAAGAGCUUGCUCUUACGGGUGGCGAGUGUCGGACGGGUGAGGAAUACAUCGGAAUCUACUUUUUCGUGGGGGAUAACGUAGGGAAACUUACGCUAAUACCGCAUACGACCUACGGGUGAAAGCAGGGGAUCUUCGGACCUUGCGCGAUUGAAUGAGCCGAUGUCGGAUUAGCUAGUUGGCGGGGUAAAGGCCCACCAAGGCGACGAUCCGUAGCUGGUCUGAGAGGAUGAUCGGCCACACUGAAACUGAGACAGGGUGCAGACUCCUACGGGAGGCAGCAGUGGGGAAUAUUGAACAAUGGGCGGAAGCCUGAUCCAGCCAUACCGCGUGGGUGAAGAAGGCCUUCGGGUUGUAAAGCCCUUUUGUUGGGAAAGAAAAGCAGCAGGAUAAUACCCCGCUGUUCUGACGGUACCCAAAGAAUAAGCACCGGCUAACUUCGUG
rnacentral:rRNA from 1 species